rnacentral:rRNA from 1 species
AUGUCAUUGGGCCAACCAAGUUUACCUAACACUAAUGAAAUCCCAGCACUCAUCCAAGGAUGGUGGCUGGCUGCAGGCACGCACAUGAGCAUGCAAGGCAUGCGUAGGAGCGCCGGAUGCUCUGUGUGCACGCAUGCCUGGCCGGCUAUGGCCCUAAUUGCAGCACAGCGAGCGCGUGUAGAAGGCCGUGGACUGGUCAGCAGAGGCAAAUGCCGUCAAGCUCGGCAGCAGCAAAGCAUAACAGUAGCAGCUAACACAGCCGCCGAGCCGGAAAGCAGCAGCGGGCAGCAAGAAGGGCAAGGAGCAGCCUAG